AAACUUAAAGAUAUUUAUGCGUAAAGUUGUUACAAAGUGGGUGAAUAGACUACCUUAACCUAGGAAAUUGAAAAUGAACUUUUCAAAAGAUACCUAUGAUGGGCAUGGUGUUUGUCUUUGUUGAUAUAUGAUCAACACAAUUUUAUUUUUUUUUUUGGAAAGUUUGAGCAUAAUAAAUUAUAUUAUUUCAUUGAGAUUCAAUUCAUGAUUCAUAUAUUUUUAUGUUAUAAUUUAUAUUUAUUGUGUAGUCUAGUUUAAAAGGAUAAUGUGACAUGAUAUAUUUUUUAUUGUAUUAUAUAUAAUAUUGAGAGCUUAAAAAUACCAAUAAUAUUUGUAUAUAAGUAAUAUUGGACGGCAA
rnacentral:lncRNA from 1 species